GUGUCUGGCCUUCGCAAGAGACCCAGCAAGCAGAAAACGCUUACGGGUUCUUAGGGAACUGUAAGCUUGACUUGAAGAUUCGGAGCUGGGAAAGUCUUUCCUGUUUAACACCUUCAGAGGGGGUGUGCGCCAGGAUGUGUCUGGGUGGUGCUUGGGGACAGAGGCACCUUCCCGACACCCGCCUGCCCCUCCAGCUUCUACUCCUACAAGAGCUUUGAGACAGCCGUGGCGCCCAACGUGGCCCUCGCACCGCCGGCCCAGCAGAAGGUUGUGAGCAGCCCUCCGUGUGCCGCCGCCGUCUCCCGGGCCCCCGAGCCUCUCGCCACUUGCACCCAGCCUCGGAAGCGGAAGCUGACUGUGGACACCCCAGGAGCCCCAGAGACGCUGGCGCCCGUGGCUGCCCCAGAGGAGGACAAGGACUCGGAGGCGGAGGUGGAAGUUGAAAGCAGGGAGGAAUGUACGUUCACCUCCUCCUUGUCCUCGCUCUCUUCCCCGUCCUUUACCUCAUCCAGCUCCGCCAAGGACCUGGGCUCCCCGGG
rnacentral:lncRNA from 1 species